CUUUCUUCUGGGCUUGUGGCAUAGUAACAUUCCAUUAUAUGCUUAUUUUGCUCUCAGCUCCAUUUAAUGUUCUUUGAAUUAUCUUCCAAUUGCAUUACAGUUGAAUACCCUGGUUGCCUAAUGGCACCAACUGCCCUCCAUAGCUUGCUUGUCGACUGGUGGCCAGAGAGAUUGCCACCAGACGCAACCUUUGAACUAGGUGACAGCCGAUCCAAUAUCAAUUUCAUUCUUCUUGUAUUCAUCAUGAUGUUUGGGAAUGGCGAUAUUUAGUCUGAUCCCUCAGCCAUGACCUCUCUGGCUUGGGUGAUCUUUCUGCCAAGUGCGUUUGUGCCAGCAUAGCUCCCAGUAUCAUAGAGGCGUGCAAGCCCUCUCACUCCAGCAAGUCAGUGGCACUUGAGAAGGAUUAUUAUUAUUAUUCUGUUAUUAAUUUGGUGAACUAUACUUUUGUUCUGUUAAAACUUAUUUUAUAUAUUAUUAUUCUCAAUAGAAUCAUCUUAAUUUUAAUUGUUUUGCUAGAACAUAAUAAUGCGUGUUCUGUUCUAAAAUAGAAUACGUAUAACUGAUACUUGGCCUAAGAAUAAGG
rnacentral:lncRNA from 1 species